ACGGAGGGUGCAAGCGUUAUCCGGAUUUAUUGGGUUUAAAGGGUGCGUAGGCGGUUAUAUAAGUCAGCGGUGAAAUUUUUCAGCUUAACCGGAAACAUGCCGUUGAAACUGUAUAGCUUGAAUAGGGUUGCUGAGAGUGGAAUGUGUAGUGGAGAGGUGAAAUGCGUAGAAAUUACGCAGAAUAGCGAUUGCGAAGGCAACGCACAAAGCCAUUAUUGACGCUGAGGCGCGAAAGUGUGGGGAUCAAACAG
rnacentral:rRNA from 1 species